rnacentral:rRNA from 1 species
GGGGGAAUUUUGGACAAUGGGGGAAACCCUGAUCCAGCAACGCCGCGUGAAUGAAGAAGGCCUUCGGGUUGUAAAGUUCUUUUGUCAGGGAGCAAAGGGUUUGUGCUAAUACCACAAACUGUUGAGAGUACCUGAAGAAUAAGCACCGGCUAACUACGUGCCAGCAGCCGCGGUAAUACGUAGGGUGCAAGCGUUAAUCGGAAUUACUGGGCGUAAAGCGUGCGCAGGCGGAUGAUUAAGUUAGGAGUGA